rnacentral:rRNA from 1 species
AGAGCGAACGCUGGCGGCAGGCCUAAUACAUGCAAGUCGAACGGAUCCUUCGGGAUUAGUGGCGGACGGGUGAGUAACACGUGGGAACGUGCCCUUUGGUUCGGAACAACUCAGGGAAACUUGAGCUAAUACCGGAUGUGCCCUUCGGGGGAAAGAUUUAUCGCCAUUGGAGCGGCCCGCGUCUGAUUAGCUAGUUGGUGGGGUAAAGGCCCACCAAGGCGACGAUCAGUAGCUGGUCUGAGAGGAUGAUCAGCCACACUGGGACUGAGACACGGCCCAGACUCCUACGGGAGGCAGCAGUAGGGAAUCUUGCGCAAUGGGCGAAAGCCUGACGCAGCCAUGCCGCGUGAAUGAUGAAGGUCUUAGGAUUGUAAAAUUCUUUCAGCGGGGACGAUAAUGACGGUACCCGCAGAAGAAGCCCGGCUAACUUCGCGCCAGCAGCCGC